GCGAAAGGGUGCGUAACACGUGGGAAUUUACCAAGAAGUGGGGAAUAGCUCGGCGAAAGCCGAAUUAAUACCGCAUACGAUCGCAAGAUCAAAGCCGGGGACCGCAAGGCCUGGCGCUUUUUGAGAAGCCCGCGGCCCAUCAGCUAGUUGGCGAGGUAAAAGCUCACCAAGGCUAUGACCGGUAUCCGGCCUGAGAGGGCGCACGGACACACUGGAACUGAAACACGGUCCAGACUCCUACGGGAGGCAGCGGUGGGGAAUUUUGCGCAAUGGGGGAAACCCUUGACGCAGCAACGCCGCGUGGAGGAUGAAGCCCCUUGGGGCGUAAACUCCUUUCGAUCGGGACGAUUAUGACGGUACCGGAAGAAGAAGCCCCGGUUAACUUCGUGCCAGCAGCCGCGGUAAUACGAGGGGGGCGAGCGUUGUUCGGAAUUAUUGGGCGUAAAGGGUGCGUAGGCGGUUCAGUAAAGUCUUGUGUGAAAUCUUCGGGCUCAACUCGAAGUCUGCAUGAGAAACUGUGGGCUUGAGUAUGGGGAGAGGUGAGUGGAAUUCCUGGUGUAGCGGUGAAAUG
rnacentral:rRNA from 1 species